rnacentral:rRNA from 1 species
UACGGAGGGUGCGAGCGUUAUCCGGAUUCACUGGGUUUAAAGGGUGCGUAGGUGGAUCGGUAAGUCCGUGGUGAAAUCCCCGAGCUUAACCUGGGAAUGGCAUUUGGGACUGCAAGGCUGGAGUGUGGCAGAGGAGACUGGAAUUCCUGGUGUAGCAGUGAAAUGCGUAGAUAUCAGGAGGAAUACCGAUGGCGAAGGCAGGUCUCUGGGCUGACACUGACGCUCAUGCACGAAAGUGUGGGGAGCAAACAGG